UACGUAGGUGGCGAGCGUUGUCCGGAUUUACUGGGCGUAAAGAGCGCGCAGGCGGUCGUUCAAGUCGCGUGUGAAAGCCCCCGGCUCAACUGGGGAGGGUCACGCGAUACUGAUCGACUCGAAGGCAGGAGAGGGUAGUGGAAUUCCCGGUGUAGUGGUGAAAUGCGUAGAUAUCGGGAGGAACACCAGUGGCGAAGGUGACUACCUGGCCUGUUCUUGACGCUGAGGCGCGAAAGCUAGGGGAGCAAACGGG
rnacentral:rRNA from 1 species